GCAAGUCGAACGGUAACAGGUCUUCGGAUGCUGACUAGUGGCGCACGGGUGAGUAACUCGUACAUAACCUACCUUUCACCGAGGGGUAGCCUUGGGACACUGAGAAUAAUACCUCAUAGUAUUAUAGGAUCGCAUGAUUUUAUGAUUAAAGUGUUAGCGGUGAGAGAUGGAUGUGCGUGCCAUUAGAUAGUUGGUGAGGUAACGGCUCACCAAGUCAACGAUGGCUAGGGGGCGUGAGAGCGUGGUC
rnacentral:rRNA from 1 species